rnacentral:rRNA from 1 species
GAGUACAGUGGCGCACGGGUGAGUAGCACCUAGGUAACGACCCUUUUGCUGGGGAUAACUAGAGGAAACUCUGGCUAAUACCGAAUGACUCCCCCUUUCUGCGAAAAGGGGGAGAAAGCCGUAAGGCGCGAAAGGAGCGGCCUGGGGCCCAUUAGCUUGUUGGUGGGGUAAUGGCCUACCAAGGCGACGAUGGGUAGCUGGUUUGAGAGGAUGAUCAGCCACACUGGUACUGGAAUACGGACCAG